rnacentral:tRNA from 1 species
CUGUGGGUAGCUUAAGGUGUAAAGUGUUAGAUUCUUACUCUAGUGAUGUUUUUGAACUCCAUAGG